GAUGAAGAACGCAGCGAAAUGCGAUAAGUAAAGUGAAUUGCAGAAUUCAGUGAAUCAUCGAAUCUUUGAACGCACAUUGCGCCCGCCAGUAUUCUGGCGGGCAUGCCUGUUCGAGCGUCAUUACAACCCUCAGGCCCCCGGGCCUGGCGUUGGGGAUCGGCAGAAGCCCCCUGUGGGCACACGCCGUCCCUCAAAUACAGUGGCGGUCCCGCCGCAGCUUCCAUUGCGUAGUAGCUAACACCUCGCAACUGGAGAGCGGCGCGGCCAUGCCGUAAAACACCCAACUUCUGAAUGUUGACCUCGAAUCAGGUAGGAAUACCCGCUGAACUUAAGCAUAUCAAUAAGCGGAGGA
rnacentral:misc_RNA from 1 species